UUAGGAUGACAGCACCAGUAUGCUCAUCCCCAUAAACAUUCCUCAGCUGAAACAGGAACUACAGGGCAGUGCUAGCCUAUGUAUUAUGAGACCGGAAUAUUUCUGCUUCCAUGUGCAGAUGGAGCACAGAUCACUAGUGUGCUGACAAGCUGAACUCCAAACAAAGAGAUAAGCUACAUAUGUACUGGCAGGAUUCACUGUCAGUGGGAGCACUGAAUGAAAAGCCUGUUCUCCAAAUCAGUCCCCCAUUUAUCUACUAAAUCUUUCCAUUUCAUCCAAUCUAAAGAACCAUCGCUGAUGAAUGUUGCAGCUGAUCCUACUGCUACUCCAGGGUAUGGAAGAAACAUCAUGAAAAAUUAAGAAGAAAGCAAGCAUUUGGAAGUUGUAUUAAUUUAAUGUUGUCUCGGGGACUAGGCAGCCAGCUGAAGUUUCAAUCAGAAGAUCUCCAAGUGCUCAUGACUAAGCCUGCAAGGUGAUAUUAACCAUCAUCUCCAAAUUUAAGUUUUCCAUCAUUACUUUUUUAAAGAAUUACAGUAACGUUCUAGUGUUUAUUCUAAAAGUGGAUAAUGUGCUUAUGAUGAUUAGAUCCAAGAAUUUUGCCUCAAAAGAAAAAGGUAAAAAGCAGCAGGAAAAAGUUGGGAAGUUCAAAAACACCCAUUCAUCCUUAUUCACCUUGAAGAGUCAGACAUAAAUUGUGGGAGGAACUUAUAGAGCUGAGGAGAAGGGAUCAGGGGUUAAACUCAUCCUGGAACUGUCUUAAAGCUCUAUUUUAAUCUCAUUGUUUAUCUUCUCCUGACCAGCUUGUAUGAGAAAAUACAGGAAUGAAAUAAGAAAUGUAAAAGAUCAUCAGAUUUCAGAAUCCUGCUUGCUAGUUAUUGGUUUGCCUUCACACACUCUGGAAACAAAUCUGUGCUGGCAACACUGAUUAAAUGCAGCAGGUAUAAAGUGUAACUGGCAGUUAAAACCUUGUUGAACACUGCAAUGAUACUGCAUUUCUUGACUUGGAAGGUUGUUCAUCCAGCCUGCUCAGCCAGGGUGUUCAUCCGGCCCGUUUACCAUUUAUGAGGCAUUGUGUUAGCAUUGAAUUAGCUUAUAGAUUGUUUUAAUAUGACUUGGAGCAGUAGGGUGUAUAAUUGUUUGAAUGUUUCUUUCCACUGACUGCACAGCAUUACUUCUUUCUGCACCUGAGAAGGCUUUUUCCUCCACCUGAACACUUAACAAGCAAAUUUCCAGAUAUUCAGAAGCAAAUGCAAACAAUUUAGAGCAAAUCUUGUUCCUGCGAUUAGGGCCUCAAAUGAAACCCUACCAAACACAGCCAAUAGAGCUGAGAUUUUAUUUAUUUUAUUUUUUUUUUGGCAACAUUUUCUCUUCUUUUCUAUGUUGUUGUGGUUUUUUUUAUUUGCUUCAGGAAGGCAUUGCAGUGUGACACCCUUCCUUAUCUUAAUUCCUGGUUUUUGAAGAGAAAAAUAGCUUUAAACCCUCAGUACAGUAAAGUCUGUUCAUACAAAGCAUGUGAAGACUCAGUGGAAUACGUAGCUCUUUGUAUCACUUAAUGUUUGUAGCCUUUUGUACCAUUUAACAUUUGUCAGGCUGCCAUUUCUUUUCUGCCACAGGUUUUGGGUGCUGUGUCAUAUUGUUGAUGUUAUGAGUUAAGUUUCCUAUUAAUCCCUAGGUGGACUUUAGCAGUGAAACCCAGGCUUGGGAAUCCCUAUGAAACUGCUUUGAAUUGCCUACACAUAUACAGUGCACACAGUAAUCCCAUCAAUCAUAGUGGUGUCUGUUAAAUGCCAUUAUGUGACUUAAUUAAUGUCUGCCUAGCAUUUUCAGAUUCAUAAGCAGUCAAAAACAUUACCAUGAUGUUCUUAACAGCUGCUAAAUUUCUUUUAUAAGCCAGAAAUAAAACACAGAGUAAAGGUGGUCAGACGGGCUGGCAAUUAAUUGGAAAAUCACCAAAGAGUACAUGGUGAGGGAAGCAAUUACUAUAAAAUGCAGAAAUGAGAAAAUGCAGCCAUUAGGGAUAUCUGGUAUUAAACCUUCAAAGGAAUGUAAAUAUUUAAUUUUUUUUAUAAAAAUUAUUUUUGUAUAAUGCAUUAGCUUGCAAUGAAUGUGGCACAUAUAGCAUGUAAAAGUACUCCUUGGUCAGCAAGGGAGGCAGCACAAUGCCAAACAUUAAACCUUGUGUGAAAAACACGUUUAUACUGAGCUGACUGAUGAGACGACAGCAUGUUUAUGUUGUUCUAAGUAUAAAACACCGUAUGCUUGGAUUUAGAGGCUCUUUUAGAAAGUCAUUCCAUUUAACAGCUUUGAGUUUGGGUCAGCUAAAUGGACGUGCCACAAAUGGACUGGAUGAGUGACAUUACAAGACCAACUAAAGUAAUUAGCAAUAAUGACAAUUACAGAUACUUUUUAUUUAAAGUUUGUGAUAUGCUGAGGCUUGCAAUACUCUUGGAUGAGGCCUAAUGUGAUAGCUCUUUUAUACAUAGGUAGAUGAAGAAGGUUGAAGUAACCUGAUCAAGGGCUCCAUGUAUGAUCCUUACAGAGUCACAGAAGCACAGAAUGGUUUGGGUUGGACAGAACCUACAAGACCAUCUAAGUCCAACCCUCUGCCAUGGGCAGGGACACCUUCCACUGUCCCAGAUUGCUCAG